ACCUGCCCUAAAAAUUUAUCCAGACCCACCAGGGACCUGUGCAUAACUAUAAGGAAAAGAAUGUAUUUCUCUGGACUUCCCUGAAUUAGCAAUCCAGGUAGCUCGAAAGAGGCCUCCUCCUUCCAAACUGGCUCAAGGGUUUUCUCAGCUACAGAGGUGGAGUACUUUUCCUUGCCCAGCUGAAUUAUAGUGUAUGUGUCAUUGGUACCACUUUUGCCUUUUGGCUUCAGAUCUUUGGCUUGGAGCACUGUGACCUGCACGUGGGUUGGAAACCACUUUUGGGCUUGCUCGGACAGCAUCAUCCUGUCCUGUUUCUCUGCCCCCGAGUUCCCUAGCACAGGCAGUGCCCCUCCCGGAGGGAGAGCCUAAUUCCUUAAUCACUGCAUCCUAAGGACACUUAACGGAAACAGGCAGGCUCAGGGCUCCCCGACUUCCCUAUGGCUGAUGUCAAAACGCCUCGCGGGGGCAGCCCAGGGGCACGGCCGCUCCGGGGGUCCCCUUUCGUCUGGAGAAACACAGAGGCCCACCAUCACCUGGCCGCGCCGUGCAGGCCUCUGCGCGGACCCCCGCCCCUGUCUCCACCUUCCCCAGGCCUGCGGGGCACGUGAGGCCUGGCCACACGGACCCGGGCGGAGGGCUGCGGGGGUGAAGGGAGCCCCCGCCCCAAUUCUGCACCCCUGGCCUCCCGCCUGCCUCCUUGCGGCCGAGCAGCCUCCGCUGCCUCCGCGCCUCCCGCCCGCCCGGCGUUCGUCCGCAGGCUCGGCCCGGCUCCUCCUCCCGACCCCGAUGGAGAUUCAGAAACAUAAGGACAACAAGAAACUUCCCCAAGGUAUCAUUAUAGUCUUUAGACUUCAGACACACACCACACCUCAAAUAUAUACACAACUGAAAGGAAAAUUAAGGAAGUUUUUCAAAGAACCCUAUUCCGAGUAAGAAGUGUGUUGCAUGAAUUUCUAAGGUCAAAGAUGUUGAUUCAUUCAUAGUGUGAGGCCCAGAAAUCGGCAUUUUUAAACAAGUACACUGGACAUUUCUAAAGCUGGCUAAAGUUUGAGAGACACUAUCCAAGGGAAAUUUCUCCGUAACUCUUUUUCUCAGAAGAAAAGUAAACUAAAAGUAAAAAUAAGCAGUACCACUAAGUUUCAAGUGAUCUUCUCCUAAAAGAAGAAAAGGCCUAUAUUCAGGCACAAGAAAAGUAUAUUCUCUUUUAUCCAUGCAGAAAACAGCUAGUGGUUGAAAAUCAACACUUCAGACCUCUUGUCUACAUAAAGCCAACUGCCCCUUUGUUUUACUGAUGUCUUCAAUGAUUUUACUUAGAUUUUUCUACGGC
rnacentral:lncRNA from 1 species